CUUCCCUCCUCCCCUUUGAAUUUUUCUCCAUUUCAUUUUGGGCGCACUGUUUCAAAAACGGAGAGGGGCAGAGAGGGAGCGAUAGGUAGAGGCGUUCGAGCGGCGAAGGAGAGGAGGCGAUUCCGUCGGGUUCUUGUCGUGUCCGAGAUCCAUCUCUGCUCGAGCUUGAUUUGCCCUGUCUCUCCCCCUUUUCUCGUGCGAUUUAGGGCUCGCCCGGUUGGUUGUUCUUGUCUCUCCCCCUUCUCUCGUGUGAUUUGCCCUAUCUCUGUUGGUGUAGAUUCUAGAUCGAGAUCUGGGGAUUGUUGGUAGUUGUAUUUUGAUGCGUUUUUGUUGCUCUUUUGUAGAUUUAGCCGUUGGUUCUGCUUGUAGUUUGUGUAGUUUCCCAUGGAUGCCCCUCUGCUCGUGUCAGAUGUAUGAAUUCGUGUGUUAGUUCUGGCUCAUAUGCUUCCCCUGUUAGGUUUUAGGUGUUCUUGUUUUGAUUCCCUCGGUGGAGGCGCUGGUAGGUUGUUCGUUCAUGUAAAUUUGUUUAGAUGUUGGUCAUCUGCAUAGGGUUAGGCUUUGUGAUUUCUGCUGGUAGUAUUGUCUUUGUUUGUAUUGAUUCACCUGGCUUGCCCUCUGCAUGUGUAGUUCUACCAUCUGGUAGGGUUAGGGUUUGUGAUUUUUGUUGUAGUUGUAAGUGUUCUAGCUUGCUUUACUAUGUUAUUGUGUAGCAGAUUUACAGGGGAUUGGUCUGGCUCGCCCUCUGCAUGUGUAUCCAAUUUAGGUACCUUGUUGAUAGUAUUCUCUUCAACAUUUGGUCUGCAUGCUUCUUAUUUUUCAUGAAUUACAGUGGAUGAUAACUCAGAAUUAAAAUGUAAUGUGUCCCAUAAUUCCCCGAUUACACUGUAAAUUUACUAACUGUAAUAUACCCUAGAAUAUUACUGUGGAUUUUAACUCUAAUUUACUGUGUAGUUUGUAUGCUUUGUCUCUUAACUUUUUUAGGUUAUUUUUACUCUAUAAUUGUGAGAUAGUUUACCCAGGAAUUUGCACUCUAAAUUUACCUCUGAGUUGUGCUAUAUUACACUGUAAUAUACCGCACAGUUACUGUGUCAUUUCCAUGUAAAUCAUUGUAUUUGUCAGUUAGAUUUCUCUGAUUUUUCAGCGUUAUUUCAAUGCUUUAGCACUGUAAUUCUUCUAGUUCCUUCCUUAUUUUCUGUGUUAGAUCAUCUCGGUUUAGUAUUCUUGUGUAUUCUAUUUAGCAUUUUGUCUGUACAUGUUGUGUAAUUUUCAUGCAUCUUUUUUUCAUGAAUUACAAUGGAUUUUUCUCUGAUUUACAUUUUAAUGUUUUCCAUAAUUCCAUAAUUCCCCAAUUACUCUAUGAUUUACCAACUGUAAUACUACCUCUGUCAGGAAUUACUUGUUGCUCAAAUGGAUGUAUCUAACACUGUUUUGCAAGAACUUUCUGGUGAUGAAGGAGAAAGUAAAAUGCUUGAAGAGGAAAUUAUGAUCUGCUGGGCGAAGGAAUGUGGUUUGUCUCCUAGGGAUUAGAUUCCGCUCUGCCGUCUUCGCUUACUGUUGCUACGUCAUGCAUUUCUUCCAAUGUCUGCAGAGUAAGUUAAAAUGUACGCUACUGCUUUAUUUUCUCAGGUCUUAUAAGAGUUCCAAUGUCUACUUACAUUUCUAUCUAUUCUUGCGCUGUUGAUGUUAUUUGCAUUGGUCUUGGAGUUUUCCUCGUUAUUUUCAGUCAUCCUUGUAGGCCCAUCUCAUGAGUGUACCAGCAAGCAACAGGGCAAUUUAUUUUUUAUAGUUGUUCUUUACUCAGAUUGGUAGCUCUGCGGUAAUUGAAUUUGCUUUUACCUUGUAUAUAAUGUCGGAAUGUAGAAGAGCGGUGAAUGAAAAUGUGUCCUGUAACUUUUGUUAGCAUUUAUAUUUUUAUAUAUGUAACAUCUUCCUAUAGUUUCUGCUAGUGUAACUCACAUUUAGGAUGAGUUCUUCCUGUGACAAUCUCAGUAGGUCCUCUUCAGUUGCUGUCUUCAUCAUACUCCUCAUCUGGCAUAUUUGAAAAGAAAAUGUCAAUAUUAACAAUAUUGAGCAACAAACUGUUUAGAUAUAUAUGAAAUUUGCUGGGUACUUUCACUGUUGUGCUUUGUUUAUUUUUGCUGUAAAUAGCUGGGUAUUCCCUGUGUAAUAUAAUGGGAACUAUCACCGUAAAUUAUAGUGGACUAGCUCUGGAGUUUCACUGUAUUUUGCUGGGUUUUUACAGCACAAGUUCAUCAUUGCAAAUCCUGCAUUAUUUUUGUGCAAUUCCCUAUGUGAGUGUUCCGUAUUUUUCAAGGGUAUUUACAAUGUAGGCACUUUCACUAUAAUUCUUGGGUAUUACAGUGUUUGUUUUUGGUCACUUACACUAUAAUUUCUAGGGGUUUUACACUAUAAUUCAGUGUAAGCCCUUAGUUUUACUAGUGUUUUGGGUACUUGCAGUGUAUUUACUGUGUAUGUAAUCUGUAUUUUCUAUGGUAUUUACACUGUAAAUCUUGGUACACUAUAAUUCAGCGUAAGCUCAUCAGUUUUACUAGUGUAAAUCAGUGGGUACCUGCAGCGAAUUAGUGUGUAUGUAGUCUGUAUUUUCUAGGGGAUUUACACUGUAAAUCUUGGUCACUUACACUGUAAUUCAUCAAUUUUACUAGUGUAAAUCAGUGGGCACUUGCAGUGUAAUUACUGUGUAUGUAAUCUUUAUUUUCUAGGGGAUUUACACUGUAAUCUUGGUCACUUACACUGUAAGUCUUUGGGUACUUACAGUGUAUGUACAGUGUAAUUUCUAGGGGAUUUUCUUGGGCGGUUACAUUGUAAUUCCUAGGUUUUUACAGUGGUAGUUCACCAGUUUUGCAAGUUACCUGGGUAAUUGCAGUGCCAUUUCCUGUGUAUGUGGACUGUAAUUCUUGGUAAUUUACAGUGUAUGUUCACCAGUUUUGGGUACUUGCAGCCUUGUUUUCGUUUCAAACUUUACACUAAAUAUUUGUCAAUUUUUAUUGUUUCUAUGCUAUCAUGUGCAUAUUUUGUUUGUAUUUGCUGUAUGCUUUUUCAGAGUUUGCAGUGUGAUUUUCAGCUACCUCAGGUUUGUAUUUACCAUGUUUUUUGCCACUGUAAUUAUAGACUUCAAAGUUUCUGUAAUUACAAAGUUUCACAACUGCCAACGAUCACACAUUCUUUAGUUUCUCUGAUGAUUUUGUUUCUCAGUGUUUCCAUGUAAGAGAUGAAGCUGGUGAAGGGGUUGAAGAAUUGGGGUGGGAGUAGAAGUGUUCCUGCUCCCCUGAUCUGGGGAUCGUCUCUUGAGUGAUUUUCCUGUGAUCUCCCUCAUUGUUUGGCUGAUGUUCUCUUUAGUAGAAGUGUUCUAGGUUCAGUUGAAACUGGGUCAGAGUUUAGCCCGACCCGUUUUGUUAGAAAUACAGAACAUACAAUUACCGGGGGAGGGGAGUUGGACAUACAUGUUGCAUUUGUUUAUUUGUCAGGAAAUUUGAAU